GGGGGGUGCAAGCGUUAUUCGGAAUUAUUGGGCGUAAAGGGCGCGCAGGCGGUCUCUUAAGUCAGAUGUGAAAGCCCGGGGCUCAACCCCGGAAGUGCAUUUGAAACUAAGGGACUUGAGUAUGGGAGAGGGAAGUGGAAUUCCUGGUGUAGAGGUGAAAUUCGUAGAUAUCAGGAGGAACACCGGUGGCGAAGGCGACUUCCUGGACCAAUACUGACGCUGAGGCGCGAAGGCGUGGGGAGCAAACAGGAUUAGAUACCCUGGGUAGUCCACGCAGUAAACGGUGAACACUAGGUGUAGCGGGUAUUUACCCCCUGCUGUGCCGCAGCUAACGCAUUAAGUGUUCCGCCUGGGGAGUACGGUCGCAAGAUUA
rnacentral:rRNA from 1 species